UGCGGCCCGGGACGGCCACCCGCAGGCCCCGCGCUUGCUCCGCGCCGGGAAGGGAGGAGCCGAAGGGGUGCCGGGGGGCACGGGACGCAGCUGGUUUUUCCGGCCGCCCGAGCGGGACCCGGCGCUCACGUCCCCUAACGCUGGAGGCGCCCCGCGCCGGGGAGCUGUCCGCCCCGGUGGUUCUGAACCAGGCGCGGCAGAAACUCCAGGUGUAUAAUGUAAUGAUUCAACAAUGCUAUGUGCUACUCAAUGCUUAUCACGGUUUGGUAAAGCUGGUGGUAAAGCCAAUGG